CAGGGAUUGCCUCAGUAACGGCGAGUGAAGCGGCAACAGCUCAAAUUUGAAAUCUGACCCCCUCGGGGCCCGAGUUGUAAUUUGUAGAGGGUGUUUCGGGCGCGGCGCCGGUCUAAGUUCCUUGGAACAGGACGUCACAGAGGGUGAGAAUCCCGUAUGUGACCGGCGAUCAAGCCCAUGUGAAGCCCCUUCGACGAGUCGAGUUGUUUGGGAAUGCAGCUCAAAAUGGGUGGUAAAUUUCAUCUAAAGCUAAAUACUGGCCAGAGACCGAUAGCGGACAAGUAGAGUGAUCGAAAGAUGAAAAGCACUUUGGAAAGAGAGUCAAACAGUACGUGAAAUUGUUGAAAGGGAAGCGCUUGCAAUCAGACCGGUCCGGGGGCGAUCAGCCGCUGCUCGUCAGCGGUGCACUCGCCCUCGAUCCGGCCAGCAUCGGUUUGGGCGGCGGGAGAAAAGUCCCGGGAAUGUAGCUUCUUUCGGGGAGUCUUAUAGCCCGGGUCGGCAUGCCGCCCGCCUGGACCGAGGACCGCGCUUCGGCUAGGAUGCUGGCGUAAUGGUUGCAAGCGACCCGUCUUGAAACACGGACCAAGGAGUCUAACAUCUAUGCGAGUGUUUGGGUGUCAAACCCGGGCGCGGAAUGAAAGUGAACGGAGGUGGGAACCCGUCAGACGGCGCACCAUCGACCGAUCCAGAUGUCUUCGGAUGGAUUUGAGUACGAGCAUAGCUGUUGGGACCCGAAAGAUGGUGAACUAUGCCCGGAUAGGGUGAAGCCAGAGGAAACUCUGGUGGAGGCUCGCAGCGGUUCUGACGUGCAAAUCGAUCGUCAAAUCUAGGCAUAGGGGCGAAAGACCAAUCGAACCAUCUAG
rnacentral:rRNA from 1 species